GAUGAACGCUAGCUAUAGGCUUAACACAUGCAAGUCGAGGGGAAACGGCAUUAUGUGCUUGCACAUUUUGGACGUCGACCGGCGCACGGGUGAGUAUCGCGUAUCCAACCUGCCCUUUACUUGGGGAUACCCCGUUGAAAGACGGCCUAAUACCCGAUGUAAUUCAUUGAUGGCAUCAGAUAUGAAUAAAAGAUUUAUCGGUAAAGGAUGGGGAUGCGUCUGAUUAGCUUGUUGGUGAGGUAAAGGCUCACCAAGGCAACGAUCAGUAGGGGUUCUGAGAGGAAGGUCCCCCACAUUGGAACUGAGACACGGUCCAAACUCCUACGGGAGGCAGCAGUGAGGAAUAUUGGUCAAUGGGCGUGAGCCUGAACCAGCCAAGUAGCGUGCAGGAUGACGGCCCUAUGGGUUGUAAACUGCUUUUGUAUGGGGAUAAAGUCAAUCACGUGUGAUUGUUUGCAGGUACCAUACGAAUAAGGACCGGCUAAUUCCGUGCCAGCAGCCGCGGUAAUACGGAAGGUCCGGGCGUUAUCCGGAUUUAUUGGGUUUAAAGGGAGCGUAGGCCGGAGAUUAAGUGUGUUGUGAAAUGUAGACGCUCAACGUCUGACUUGCAGCGCAUACUGGUUUCCUUGAGUACGCACAACGUUGGCGGAAUUCGUCGUGUAGCGGUGAAAUGCUUAGAUAUGACGAAGAACUCCGAUUGCGAAGGCAGCUGACGGGAGCGCAACUGACGCUUAAGCUCGAAGGUGCGGGUAUCGAACAGG
rnacentral:rRNA from 1 species